rnacentral:rRNA from 1 species
GAUGAACGCUGGCGGCGUGCCUAAUACAUGCAAGUCGAGCGAACGGACGAGAAGCUUGCUUCUCUGAUGUUAGCGGCGGACGGGUGAGUAACACGUGGAUAACCUACCUAUAAGACUGGGAUAACUUCGGGAAACCGGAGCUAAUACCGGAUAAUAUUUUGAACCGCAUGGUUCAAAAGUGAAAGACGGUCUUGCUGUCACUUAUAGAUGGAUCCGCGCUGCAUUAGCUAGUUGGUAAGGUAACGGCUUACCAAGGCAACGAUGCAUAGCCGAACUGAGAGAGUGAUCGGCCACACUGGAACUGGAACACGGUCCUGGCGCCUACGGGAGGCAGCAGUAGGGAAUCUUCCGCAGUGGGCGAGAGCCUGACGGAGCAACGCCGCGUGAGUGAUGAAGGUCUUCGGAUCGUAAAAAUCUGUUAUUAGGGAAGAACAUAUGUGUAAGUAAAUGUGCACAUCUUGACGGUAACUAAUCAGAAAGCCACGGCUAACUACGUG